rnacentral:rRNA from 1 species
AGAGUUUGAUCGUGGCUCAGGAUGAACGCUAGCGGCGCGCUUAAUGCAUGCAAGUCGAGCGAUGAGGCUCCUUCGGGAGUACAUCAGCGGCAGACGGGUGAGUAACACGUAGGUGACCUGCCCCUAAGACCGGGAUAACGGGUGGAAACACACGCUAAUACCGGAUAUACUUCUGGGGUCGCAGCCAGGAGGAAAGCUCCGGCGCUUAGGGAGGGGCCUGCGGCCCAUCAGCUAGUUGGUGUGGUAACGGCACACCAAGGCGAAGACGGGUAGGGGGUGUGAGAGCAUGACCCCCCACAAUGGGACUGAGACACGGCCCAUACUCCUACGGGAGGCAGCAGCAGGGAAUAUUGCGCAAUGGGCGAAAGCCUGACGCAGCGACGCCGCGUGAAUGAUGAAGGCCUUCGGGUUGUAAAGUUCUUUUCUGGGGGAAGAGAAGGGACGGUACCCCAGGAAUAAGCGUCGGCUAACUACGUGCCAGCAGCCGCGGUAAUACGUAGGACGCGAGCGUUAUCCGGAUUUAUUGGGCGUAAAGCGUCUGUAGGCGGCAGAGUAAGUUGGGCGUGAAAGCUCCGGGCUUAACCCGGAGAGGCCGUUCAAUACUGCUCAGCUAGAGGGGGUCAGAGGAGCGUGGAAUUUCCGGUGUAGCGGUAAAAUGCGCAGAUAUCGGGAGGAACACCAGUGGCGAAGGCGGCGCUCUGGGGCCGCCCUGACGCCGAGAGACGAAAGCUAGGGGAGCAAACAGGAUUAGAGACCCUGGUAGUCCUAGCCCUAAACGAUGGAUGCUAGGUGUGGGGCCGAGAAGGCUCUGUGGCGCAGCUAACGCGAUAAGCAUCCCGCCUGAGGACUACGGCCGCAAGGUUAAAACUCAAACGAAUUGACGGGGACCCGCACAAGCAGCGGAGCGUGUGGUUCAAUUCGAUACUACACGAAGAACCUUACCUGGGUCUGACAUAUCCGUGGUAGCGAAGCGAAAGCGGAGCGACCCUUCGGGGAGCGGAUACAGGUGCUGCAUGGCUGUCGUCAGCUCGUGCCGUGAGGUGUCGGGUUAAGUCCCGUAACGAGCGCAACCCUUGCCCUUAGUUAUACGUGUCUAAGGGGACUGCCGGCGGGAAGCCGGAGGAAGGUGGGGAUGACGUCAAGUCAGCAUGGCCCCUUAUGUCCAGGGCUACACACACGCUACAAUGGACGGUACAAUGGGCAGCCAAGCCGCGAGGCGGAGCGAAUCCCACCAAAGCCGUUCGUAGUUCGAAUAGCAGGCUGCAACUCGCCUGCUUGAAGCUGGAGUUGCUAGUAACCGCGCGUCAGCUAUAGUGCGGUGAAUACGUUCCCGGGUCUUGUACACACCGCCCGCCACGUCAUGGGAGUCGGUAAUGCCUGUAGCCAGUAGCUGAACCUAACGGGGGGCGCUGUCGAAGGCGGGACUGGCUACUGGGACGAAGUCGUAACAAGGUA